rfam:Stomoxys calcitrans breed 8C7A2A5H3J4 unplaced genomic scaffold Scaffold186, whole genome shotgun sequence.
AAAAAGGGCGCUCGUCUUUGCACUUUUUAUAUACAAAAGGCAGCAGAAUUUAUUCUGUGUGCGGACGCAUUGCAGCAUUACCGUUCAAUCGAUUGAACUAAACAUGGCUGUUGUCGUGUUUUUGUAGUUCAUGUGGAUGGAUUUGAUGCUCCAGUGGGGUAUGGCUUUGCAUAUCCAGUGCAUAAUUUUUAUAAAGAUGAGAAUAGGGGCAGCCUUAACAAAGUGGAUUGCAGUCAGUUUUGCACUGACUAGCGUGCCGUUUUG